GAAAUGCGAUAAGUAAUGUGAAUUGCAGAAUUCAGUGAAUCAUCGAAUCUUUGAACGCACAUUGCGCCCCUUGGUAUUCCGGGGGGCAUGCCUGUUCGAGCGUCAUUUCAACCCUCAAGCUCAGCUUGGUAUUGAGUCCACGUCAGCAAUGGCCGGCUCUAAAAUCAGUGGCGGCGCCGCUGGGUCCUGAACGUAGUAAUAUCUCUCGUUACAGGUGCUCAACGUGCUUCUGCCAAAACCCAAAUUUUCUAUGGUUGACCUCGGAUCAGGUAGGGAUACCCGCUGAACUUAA
rnacentral:misc_RNA from 1 species